UGGCCAGACUCCUACGGGAGGCAGCAGUGAGGAAUAUUGGUCAAUGGGCGCGAGCCUGAACCAGCCAAGUCGCGUGAGGGAUGACGGCCCUACGGGUUGUAAACCUCUUUUGUCGGGGAGCAAAGAGAGUCACGUGUGGCUCAUUGAGAGUACCCGAAGAAAAAGCAUCGGCUAACUCCGUGCCAGCAGCCGCGGUAAUACGGAGGAUGCGAGCGUUAUCCGGAUUUAUUGGGUUUAAAGGGUGCGUAGGCGGGCCGGUAAGUCAGCGGUAAAAAUGCGGAGCUCAACUCCGUCGAGCCGUUGAAACUGCCGUUCUUGAGUGAGCGAGAAGUAUGCGGAAUGCGUGGUGUAGCGGUGAAAUGCAUAGAUACCACGCAGAACUCCGAUUGCGAAGGCAGCAUACCGGCGCUCAACUGACGCUGAAGCACGAAGGCGUGGGUAUCGAACAGGAUUAGAUACCCGAGUA
rnacentral:rRNA from 1 species